AGCUAAUGUGAGGACAAACUCCGUUAGAAACCGAGCUUCUCGGACACAGGAACAGUUAAGACGUUUCCAAGAGGACAUUUAUUCCUCAGUCAGGGUAGCAGUGGAUCCGGAGUCAUUCUUGGCAAUCCUGGGUGUGAGGCAGGAUACACCCUGGGUUGGGCUGCAGUCUACCGCAUGGCAUCAUGCACACACACAUUCACACAAAUUUAGCCAAGUCGAAGGAAAUGUUUGUGCCAACUUGCUCAAAACAAUACAAAAUCGAAAUAUUCUUUAUAACUAAACAUGUGCAAGAAGGAACUGCUGACUUUUGAGAGGUGGGAGGAAACUGCAGAACCCCAACUUCAAGAGAGUGAAAGUUGGUGGUGAGGCUGGUGUUCCAGUUUAAGUGUUAUUGCAGACAGAUCAAUAAAAAAGA